CCUACGGGAGGCAGCAGUGGGGAAUAUUGCUCAAUGGGGGGAACCCUGAAGCAGCAACGCCGCGUGGGGGAGGAAGGUCUUCGGUAUGUAAAGCCCUUUUGGUAGGGAAGAAAAUGACGGUAUCUGACGAAUAAGCACCGGCUAACUCCGUGCCAGCAGCCGCGGUAAUACGGAGGGGGCAAGCGUUACUCGGAAUCACUGGGUGUAAAGGGCGCGUAGGCGGGAUAGCAAGUCAGAUGUGAAAGGCUAUGGCUUAACCCUGGAACUGCAUUUGAAACUGGGAUUCUUGAGUGUGGGAGAGGUAGGUGGAAUUCGUGGUGUAGGGGUAAAAUGCGUAGAUAUCAAGAGGAACACUCAUUGCGAAGGCGGCCUGCUGGAACAUAACUGACGCUGAGGCGCGAAAGCGUGGGGAGCAAACAGGAUUAGAUACCCCUGUAGUC
rnacentral:rRNA from 1 species